CUCACACACACAGCUCUGAGAAAGCGAUCAGCUUAUGUGGAGACCCAGCCCGCUGUGUCUUACUUCACUUCGACAUAAUCGAUGCAAGCUUAUUGUUUUUUUAUUUGAGCAUUUUUUUUUCUCCGCGAACAGAGUCACGACAUUCCAGCCUCGGAACUGGAAACCUGUUUCCUGGGAUGUUCUGGCUAUGACAAGAUCCACAGUGUUGUCCUUAUCCCCAAAAUGUGUCCUCCCUCCCGCCUUCUGGAUGAGGCUACAGAUCCUAACUCCUGUCUGGUUUAAAUGGAGGCUCACCUGUCGAUCAAGUGGAGCUGGGGGUGGAGCUUGGGGUUUUUAACCCAGCCCUCAUGGUGUAGUAGUCAGUCUUGUCUUACUCUUUGUGUGAGGACGGUACAUGUGCCCAUCCGCCUCAUUCCAAAGCCAUUCUGGUGCAGUUCGUCUGCAGUCUGUUCCAGAAUGGUGCGUUUAGGCUUGUGUGGAGCAGCAGAGAACAUUACUUCGAGGAGAGGAGACAGAACCAGGCUGUGAACAUGGAGAAAGACAUGUCUUGGCCUUAAGAUGAGGUGCAGAAAGAAGAAAGAGGUCUACAAAACAGAGAACACCAUACUGUUCUAGGAACAAAACUCGGGAAAUCGAGGAGACAAGUGUCAGGGAAUUGUAAAAGAAAGUAAAUGCACAGAGCUCUGAUAUGUUGAAUUUCCAGUCUCUGCUCCAGGGAGUUAAUAUUAACUGCCACAUUAUGUUAUUUCAGCAGACAAUAUUCAAGACAAACCUUAACGCCUGUAGCUGUGCUAAUAGUAUUGCCACUGGAAUUGAAAACACUGUGCAGUCUAGUCUUGGCCUGGCAGUCUGAUUCAAAACAAUGGCUUUCGUUUGCGUCUGUUUUUUUUUUUUCUGUGUGAAUUAUUUUCUUUCUGCUUCAAGAAAAACUGUAGGACUAAAAUCAUGAAUACACAUCAAAUUAAAAAAAAGGAGAGGAAAAGCUGUUCCACUGUUUCUUCAGAUAGCAGAAUGAACGCUUUCUGUCACAGCUUGAAAUUAAAACAGAUGGAAUACCAAAGGAGCAGAGCAAUUAUAACAUCAUUCUCCCUAACAACAAACUAAAUAACUGGAAAAUCGUUGUUCAGCAAGAGGUUAAUAGACCUCUUCUCUGCUGUCUGUGAGGUACAUUUUUAGCCUUCUGACUGUGAGUUUUGCUGUUUUAUGUCUUUCUAAGAUGAGGGCUGCCUUAAUAAAGAGUCAGAAAAAGCUUUCAAAUCACUGUCUGCAUCAGUUUGUGAUGCAGGAAUGUUAUUACACAGUUAU